AAAUUGAAGAGUUUGAUCAUGGCUCAGAUUGAACGCUGGCGGCAGGCCUAACACAUGCAAGUCGAACGGUCACAGGAAACAGCUUGCUGUUUCGCUGACGAGUGGCGGACGG
rnacentral:rRNA from 1 species